UGAAGGGAUGGCUUGAACAUCCUUUUUUGGUGGCUAAGACCUCAUCAGCAAGAGUUGCUGUGCUAAUGACCCAGCCAGCAUCCUUCCUGGGCUGACUGAUGAAUGCUGUGCGCCUAUAAUAAAAGCAAUUAAGCCAAAAGCCCUGAAACCCAGCCAGUACCUGGCCUUAAAGGCUAAGGAUGCUUCUUAUAGACACUGGUAAAGAGCCUAUGGGAUCUGGGAAAGGGACAGAGGCCUACUUGACAUUUGCAUGCACUAAUGAAUACCAAGACAGACUCCUGUUCCUUUAUGUCCUCUCAGAAACACAUAGGCAAGUUUCAGCUCCAGUUCCAGCUCACAGUGUAUGUCCCAUAAUUACAGUGUCGAAAGCCUGCCCUCCACUCAUUGUAUAUUUUAUCCAUCUAACCCGAACUUCAUUUGGAAUGAACCAUGUUUUAGUUUCAUCCAUCCCGUGAACUGGAUGGUGUCUGAGGAUUGGAAAAAUAUUCGUCCCAGCUCAUGACCCCAUUCUCCUGCAGCUCAGGGUAGCAGGGAUGGUAAGGGAUGGGCUAUUUAGAACAUUUUUUAAAUUAUUAUUUUAUUUUAUUUUUUUAGACUCUAGCGGCUCAGACAGGGAUUAAUUGUACUACGGCCCCUUGGGGGCUGCUCUGUAAUGGGGAUUCUUAAAGCCCCCGUUGGCAGAAGUGUGUUCCUGCUGCUUUCGUCCAGAAGGAAAAUUUCACUUAAAGCAAAGAGCAGAGACAGUGGGAUACAGAAUUGAAAGCAGAGAAAAGACUAAAGAAACCAUGAAGGAAAAAUACUUUUGGAUGCUGUCUUAGUUAGGGUUUCAUUCCUGUAAAGAGACACGAUGACCAAGGCAACUCUUAUAAAGGAAAACAUCUAAUUGGGGCUAGCUUACAGGUUCAGAGGUUUUGUCCAUUAUCAAUCAUCAUGGCUGGAAGCAUGGCGGCGUGCAGGCAGACAUAGUGCUGGAGAAGGAGCUGAGAGUUCUAUAUCUGGAUCAGCAGACAGCAGGAGGUGAAAGUUACACACUGGACAGACUUGAGCUUCUGACUCCUCAAAGCCACCCCGUAGGAACACACCUGCACUUAACAAGGCCACACCUCCUAAUAGUACCACUGCCUAUGGGCAUAUGAGGGCCAUUUUCUUUCACACCACUGCAUAUGCAUUGGAAAUAAUGCCAUAUGCAGAGCUACUCUGAUGUAGCAUUUGUUUUAAGGACAAAAAAGGUUGAACCAACUGUCAGUCAUGGGGCCCUGAGCAAAAGGGAAUUCAUGAAAUGCUCAUUCACUAGAAUGGAUCUGAAAUUGCUAACACCUUGCGAUCUCCUCACAGAGUCCUAUGCAGCCCCUCCUCACAGCUCAGUAUCACCUCAGUGGCUCAUGUGUACUUGUGCAAGUGCACAUACAUAUGCAAACACACAUACACAUGCACAUACAGGCACUCAUGAGAACACACCGUAGGAAGGAUAAUACCAGGAUAAAAUGCAUCUUCUGAAAGAAAAAUGUCAGGUACCAAAUACUUAAGCCUUUCAUUGAAAUCACGUGUAAUAACUGACUUCAUCAAUUGCAAGGUGAAUGUGUCUGUCCCAUGCUGGAUCACAUAGGGUCACAGAAUCUUCUAGGCUGUCCCCAAGAGGAGCUGUAUUUUACUCUACAAUUUGCAAAAGUAAAUUAAUGUAGUUAGAAGCAACUAGGGAACUCAUAAGCAAAGUGAAACCUUUACGAGUAAAUAUUUGAAAAUUACCUAAGAAAAUGAAAAUCUAAUGCAUUGCAACAAGUUCAUUAGACACGCAUUUACUAGGCGUCUACGCUCUCCCACAUACUGCUGUGUUGGAAAUGACAUCUGACUCCAGGCUGCUAAGACACUAAUUGAAUCAAGAGCCCCCUAUCAAAUAUGGAGUCACACAUCACUCAUGUUAAUAGACUUAAUUUGGAAAGUUGAUUAUUUGGAAAUGUUCUUGAAAGAAUUUUAAUUUGGGGAAAUUUCCCUCUACAAGUAAGGGGCCUAUAUAAAGGAAUCUAAACCGCAUUUUAAAAUGUAACAAGGAGGGGGUUGGCUCACCCCUUUAAUCUCAGAACUUGGAAGACAGGCAAGUGGAUCUCUAUGAGUUUAAGGCCAGCCUGGUUUACAGAGUGAGAUUCUUAUCUUU
rnacentral:lncRNA from 1 species